UACGGAGGGGGCUAGCGUUGUUCGGAAUUACUGGGCGUAAAGCGCACGUAGGCGGCUUUGUAAGUUAGAGGUGAAAGCCCGGGGCUCAACUCCGGAAUUGCCUUUAAGACUGCAUCGCUAGAAUUGUGGAGAGGUAAGUGGAAUUCCGAGUGUAGAGGUGAAAUUCGUAGAUAUUCGGAAGAAACACCAGUGGCGAAGGC
rnacentral:rRNA from 1 species